rnacentral:tRNA from 1 species
GGAUUUGUAGCGCAAUGGUAGCAUGUUUGACUCCAGAUCAAAAGGUUGCAUGCUCAAUUCACGUCGGGUUGA